rnacentral:rRNA from 1 species
UCUGAUGCAGCGAUGCCGCGUGAGUGAAGAAGGCCCUUGGGUUGUAAAGCUCUUUCGUCGGGGAAGAAAAUGACUGUACCCGAAUAAGAAGGUCCGGCUAACUUCGUGCCAGCAGCCGCGGUAAUACGAAGGGACCUAGCGUAGUUCGGAAUUACUGGGCUUAAAGAGUUCGUAGGUGGUUGAAAAAGUUAGUGGUGAAAUCCCAGAGCUUAACUCUGGAACUGCCAUUAAAACUUUUCAGCUAGAGUAUGAUAGAGGAAAGCAGAAUUUCUAGUGUAGAGGUGAAAUUCGUAGAUAUUAGAAAGAAUACCAAUUGCGAAGGCAGCUUUCUGGAUCAUUACUGACACUGAGGAACGAAAGCAUGGGUAGCGAAGAGGAUUAGAUACCCUCGUAGUCCAUGCCGUAAACGAUGUGUGUUAGACGUUGGAAAUUUAUUUUCAGUGUCGCAGGGAAACCGAUAAACACACCGCCUGGGGAGUACGACCGCAAGGUUAAAACUCAAAUGAAUUGACGGGGACCCGCACAAGUAGUGGAGCAUGUGGUUUAAUUCGAAGCAACGCGCAGAACCUUACCAACCCUUGACAUACUCGUCGUCGCUCCAGAGAUGGAGCUUUCAGUUCGGCUGGACGAGAUACAGGUGCUGCAUGGCUGUCGUCAGCUCGUGUCGUGAGAUGUUCGGUUAAGUCCGGCAACGAGCGCAACCCACAUCCCUAGUUGCCAGCAGUUCGGCUGGGCACUCUAUGGAAACUGCCCGUGAUAAGCGGGAGGAAGGUGGGGAUGACGUCAAGUCCUCAUGGCCCUUACGUGUUGGGCUACACACGUGCUACAAUGG